CAGCCGCCGCGGUAAUACGUAGGGCGCAAGCGUUGUCCGGAAUUAUUGGGCGUAAAGAGCUCGUAGGCGGCUUGUCACGUCGGGUGUGAAAGCCCGGGGCCUAACCCCGGGCCUGCAUUCGAUACGGGCUAGCUAGAGUGUGGUAGGGGAGAUCGGAAUUCCUGGUGUAGCGGUGAAAUGCGCAGAUAUCAGGAGGAACACCGGUGGCGAAGGCGGAUCUCUGGGCCAUUACUGACGCUGAGGAGCGAAAGCGUGGGGAGCGAACAGGAUUAGAUACCCUGGUAGUCCACGCCGUAAACGGUGGGCACUAGGUGUUGGCGACAUUCCACGUCGUCGGUGCCGCAGCUAACGCAUUAAGUGCCCCGCCUGGGGAGUACGGCCGCAAGGCUAAAACUCAAAUGAAUUGACGG
rnacentral:rRNA from 1 species